GCCAGAAAGAAGACGGCAUGACACAAAGAGUCAUAAGAUGCGCCCCAGACUCCACCCCCUCCACAGAAGGUGAAUCAUAUCUUGGAGACAGGUGACCUGGCCCUGGUUAAUGAGACACAAGAGGAAGUCUUCUAGGACAGGGGUCACCAACCUAUGUGACUACACAUGAUGUUGGGAGCUGUGUCAUGCAUCUUGUGACCAUAAGAGACAACAACGACAAGCAGAUG